rnacentral:ncRNA from 2 species
AUAGGUUGGGCCCAUGCUGGUGCUCCUGGCAAAGGCCAGGGGCUCAAAAGGGAACCCGGUGAGAUUCCGGGGCUGCCCCGCAGCGGUAAGCGAGAACGACCUUCACCUCAGGCACUGGUCCCUUCGGGGGCUGGGAAGCGGUGGACAGUAGGAACCCGGCGCGCCGGCGUGCUCGUGAGCCCGAAGACCUGCCAGCACCUGGCGCCAGGA